rnacentral:rRNA from 1 species
AAAAGCGGAGGAAAAGAAACCAACAGGGAUUGCCCUAGUACGGCGAGUGAGCGGCAACAGCUCAAAUUUGAAAGCUAGCCUUCGGGUUCGCAUUGUAAUUUGUAGAGGAUGAUUUGGGGAAGCCGCCUGUCUAAGUUCCUUGGAACAGGACGUCAUAGAGGGUGAGAAUCCCGUAUGUGACAGGAAAUGGCACCCUAUGUAAAUCUCCUUCGACGAGUCGAGUUGUUUGGGAAUGCAGCUCUAAAUGGGAGGUAAAUUUCUUCUAAAGCUAAAUAUUGGCGAGAGACCGAUAGCGCACAAGUAGAGUGAUCGAAAGAUGAAAAGCACUUUGGAAAGAGAGUUAAAAAGCACGUGAAAUUGUUGAAAGGGAAGCGCUUGCAAUCAGACUUGUUUAAACUGUUCGGCCGGUCUUCUGACCGGUUUACUCAGUUUGGACAGGCCAGCAUCAGUUUCGGCGGCCGGAUAAAGGCUCUGGGAAUGUGGCCUCCACUUCGGUGGAGGUGUUAUAGCCCAGGGUGUAAUACGGCCAGCCGGGACUGAGGUCCGCGCUUCGGCUAGGAUGCUGGCGUAAUGGUUGUAAGCGACCCGUCUUGAA